UACGUAGGGGGCUAGCGUUGUCCGGAAUCAUUGGGCGUAAAGCGCGUGUAGGCGGUCCGGUAAGUCCGCUGUGAAGGUCGAGGGCUCAACCCUCGAAUGCCGGUGGAUACUGUCGGGCUAGAGUACGGAAGAGGCGAGUGGAAUUCCUGGUGUAGCGGUGAAAUGCGCAGAUAUCAGGAGGAACACCAAUUGCGAAGGCAGCUCGCUGGGACGUUACUGACGCUGAGACGCGAAAGCGUGGGGAGCAAACAGG
rnacentral:rRNA from 1 species